rnacentral:misc_RNA from 1 species
GAAAUUAACACCGGCGAGAUUAAUAUAUGCACACAAAUAUGUGCGUACUGACAGAAGAUGGGUUCAGAUUGGUACUGUACCUCACCUGACAGAACAUGCAAAGGAUACAUUGCUUUAUCUGUAUACAUGUAAUAUACUAUUUGCUUUGUUUCAGGCUGCAUAACUGCAAAUAUUUCUUAAUGUUAAAAUGUAUUGCUCUUUUGUACUUUGCUUUUACAUGUAUAUGUUUAUAUCAUGUAUUAGGUAGUUUUACACACAUAUUUUUUAUUGGAAUGAUUAAAACAAGGCUUAGUUUGUUAAUUUGAGUAUUUUCUACCUAAAAAAAACUAAAACUUAAUACCCGAUACCGAAACAUUGGUGUAUGUUUACCAUGCAGAUGUAAUAACUUAAACGAAUAAACCAAUACUUAUAC